rnacentral:rRNA from 1 species
AGAGUUUGAUCAUGGCUCAGGAUAAACGCUGGCGGCGUGCUUAACACAUGCAAGUCGAACGGAGUGGUUCUCCCGAGGAUUGACGGUGCUUGCACCAGAUUGACUCAUUUGAAUCACUUAGUGGCGGACGGGUGAGUAACGCGUGGGAAACCUGCCCUAUACUGGGGGACAGCAGUUGGAAACGACUGAUAAUACCGCAUAAGCGCACAGCUUCGCAUGAAGCGGUGUGAAAAACUCCGGUGGUAUAGGAUGGUCCCGCGUCUGAUUAGCUAGUUGGUGAGGUAACGGCCCACCAAGGCGACGAUCAGUAGCCGGCCUGAGAGGGUGUACGGCCACAUUGGGACUGAGACACGGCCCAAACUCCUACGGGAGGCAGCAGUGGGGAAUAUUGGACAAUGGGGGAAACCCUGAUCCAGCGACGCCGCGUGAACGAUGAAGUAUUUCGGUAUGUAAAGUUCUAUCAGCAGGGAAGAUAAUGACGGUACCUGACUAAGAAGCACCGGCUAAAUACGUGCCAGCAGCCGCGGUAAUACGUAUGGUGCAAGCGUUAUCCGGAUUUACUGGGUGUAAAGGGUGCGUAGGUGGCAUGGCAAGUCAGAUGUGAAAACUAUGGGCUCAACCCAUAGACUGCAUUUGAAACUGCCGAGCUAGAGUGCAGGAGAGGAAAGUGGAAUUCCUAGUGUAGCGGUGAAAUGCGUAGAUAUAUGGAGGAACACCAGUGGCGAAGGCGGCUUGCUGGGGCUCUAACUGACGCUGAGGCUCGAAAGUGUGGGGGAGCAAACAGGAUUAGAUACCCUGGUAGUCCACACUGUAAACGAUGAUUUACUAGGUGUGGGGGGUCUGACCCCUUCCGUGCCGCAGUUAACGCAAUAAGUAAUCCACCUGGGGAGUACGACCGCAAGGUUGAAACUCAAAGGAAUUGACGGGGGCCCGCACAAGCAGUGGAUUAUGUGGUUUAAUUCGAAGCAACGCGAAGAACCUUACCAGGUCUUGACAUCGAGUGACCGGCUAAGAGAUUAGCCUUUCCUUCGGGACACAAAGACAGGUGGUGCAUGGUUGUCGUCAGCUCGUGUCGUGAGAUGUUGGGUUAAGUCCCGCAACGAGCGCGACCCCUGCCAUUAGUUGCUACGCAAGAGCACUCUAAUGGGACCGCUACCGACAAGGUGGAGGAAGGUGGGGAUGACGUCAAAUCAUCAUGCCCCUUAUGAUUUGGGCUACACACGUGCUACAAUGGCGUCAACAAAGGGAAGCGAUCACGUGAGUGUGAGCAAAUCUCAAAAAUGACGUCCCAGUUCGGACUGCAGUCUGCAACUCGACUGCACGAAGCCGGAAUCGCUAGUAAUCGCGGAUCAGCAUGCCGCGGUGAAUACGUUCCCGGGUCUUGUACACACCGCCCGUCACACCAUGGGAGUCGGUAACGCCCGAAGUCAGUGACCUAACCGCAAGGAGGGAGCUGCCGAAGGCGGGACUGAUGACUGGGGUGAAGUCGUAACAAGGUAGCCGUA